GACGAACGCUGGCGGCGUGCUUAACACAUGCAAGUCGAACGGAAAGGCCUGCUUUCCCUUGUGGAUUGCGGGUACUCGAGUGGCGAACGGGUGAGUAACACGUGAGUGAUCUGCCCCCAACUUGGGUAUAAGCCUGGGCAACUGGGUCUAAUUCCCGAUAGGACUGCAGGGUGGUGCCUGUGGUUGAAAACGAUUUUCUAGUGGUUGGGGAUGAGCUCGCGGCCUAUCAGCUUGUUGGUGGGGUAAUGGCCUACCAAUGCUGGGACGGGUAGCCGGCCUGGGAGGGUGGACGGACACAGUGGGACUGCGAUACGGCCCAGACUCCUACGGGAGGCCGCAGUGGGGAAUAAUGCACGAUGGGCGGAAGCCUGAUGCAGCGACGCCGCGUGGGGGAUGACGGCCUUCGGGUUGCAAACUCCUUUCGACCGCGAGGAAGCCACCUGGUUGGAAGGGUGGUGACGGUAGUGGUAGAAGAAGCACCGGCUAACUACGUG
rnacentral:rRNA from 1 species